GGAAAUUCUACGACAAGAAGAGUAAGUUAAGUUACGAUUACAGCGAGUGGACAUAGAGUGGAAGGUCUACAAUCUACCUUAGCCGAAGAGGGACUUGGAGAAUACUUUUUGAAAUUGCAGUAGGAAAGUACGGUUAGCCGCCGUUAUCGGUAUAUGAGUGGAUUGGUCAACUUUUGUCCAAUCAAUUAGAGUGGUACCACGGAAUUUCAUCCGUCUCUUUA
rnacentral:ncRNA from 1 species